rnacentral:sRNA from 1 species
AAUACUUUUGAUCACUUCCAUUUGCCUGCAAAGCCAGAAACUUCUCUCAAGAAGAUUAUAGCUGAGUAUGUAAAACAAAAUAUAUGUAUAACUGUAAUACCAACAAGCACAGUGGUAAGUUAUAACAAGAUAUACAAAGUAAUAGAAAUUAAGAAGUGAGAAUAUCUUCAGGCGAAGGCAACUGAGAAGCUGGAGUUCAAAGUUUAAGGCUGUGUUAAAACACAACCUGAAGUUCCCAGUAGAAUCUUGCUAUAGACUUUUGGUGGCUCUGAGAAUUCCCCUGGUCACCUCAGUGUGAGGGGUGGGUGAUUCUUAACCUCUGGUGGGUUUUGUUGCAGUUUAGCUGCUGUGGAGGGAUUUCCUACAAGGACUGGUCUCAGAACAUGUAUUUCAACUGCUCGGAAGACAACCCCAGUCGAGAGCGCUGCUCUGUGCCUUACUCCUGUUGCUUGCCUACCCCUGACCAGGCAGUGAUCAACACUAUGUGUGGCCAAGGUAUGCAGGCCUUUGACUACUUGGAAGCUAGCAAAGUCAUCUACACCAAUGGCUGUAUUGACAAGUUGGUCAACUGGAUACACAGCAACCUAUUCUUACUUGGUGGUGUGGCUCUAGGCCUGGCCAUCCCCCAGCUGGUGGGAAUUCUGCUGUCCCAGAUCCUAGUGAAUCAGAUCAAAGAUCAGAUCAAGCUACAGCUCUACAACCAGCAGCACCGGGCUGACCCAUGGUACUGAGAAUCCAUCCUGCACCUCCUCACCAUGGAAACUGGCAAGCCUCAUAAACCAACAGCAGCAGGUGCUGAGAACAGCACCAAAUGGAGAUUUGGAUUCCAGCCCCCCAGUGACAGCCCAGUGGGAAGAAGCAAACUCCAGAUGGGCAGAAAGCAAGGUGCACAGGUGGCUCCGGUCUCAGGAGGAUGCGCCUCUUCUCCCCCAUCCCAGCCUUCAGCAUUGUGCCAGAGUGAUACCCUUAAGUGUCUGGGUUUAUGUUUUCAGUUUUGUUUGGGAAACAGCAGUUGCACAGAGAGUUGGGGGGUACUGCUGCUGCCUUUUCACCGAGGCACUGCCACCACCAGCUCUACCAGGGAUGCUCCUGAGCUUGGCGGACAUACUUAGAUCCUAACGUGCCAGUGAGACCUGGCUGUGGAGAGUAGCACUGGCAGCCCUGCCUGGACUCCACUUGGCAUGAUACCAGCUCCAGAAGGGAAGGGAGUGGAGCAGGCAGUGAGGAGCCAGCCUGGGGGUCGGCUGGGGACAGCCGUAUGUGCUAGGUGGGAGUGGAGGGGGAUAUGUUUACCAAAUGCCUGUCCUGCCAUCCUCCCAGGUAGUCAGAGUGAGCUACAUCCUGCCCCGCCUUCAUUUCCAUGGAAACAUGGCAGCUAGGGCACGGGGUACAACAGCAGCCAAAUUCUUCCCCACCUCCCUUACUUCGAAAAAAAGUUUGGAACCCUGGUCCCUAUACUCUGCAGUCAGAAGUGGGACUGAGCCAUACAUGCCCUUGUAUUCCUCCCUGUCUGGCCCUCCCUCUCCAGCAAGCAGGGUUUUCUUUAACUUGGCAGUGUGCAGAGGAGAAGUGGUAACACCCCCACCCCAUUCCCCUGCAUCGGAGCUCAGUAUUCCUACAGGGUAAGAGGUAGGAAUCUUGCUGGGACGAGGGGAGCCAGAAGUGGCAAUAAAAGCGUGUUGACCUGG